rnacentral:rRNA from 1 species
AUACGGAGGGUGCGAGCGUUACUCGGAGUCACUGGGCGUAAAGCGUCCGUAGGCGGUCGGGUAAGUCGGGUGUGAAAGCCCCGGGCUCAACCUGGGAAGUGCACCCGAUACUGCUCGACUCGAGUGUGGGAGAGGAUGGCGGAAUUCCCGGUGUAGCGGUGAAAUGCGUAGAGAUCGGGAGGAACACCAGUGGCGAAGGCGGCCAUCUGGCCCGCAACUGACGCUGAGGGACGAAAGCGUGGGGAGCAAACAGGAUUAGAUACCCUAGUAGUCC